rnacentral:rRNA from 1 species
UACGUAGGGAGCAAGCGUUGUCCGGAAUCAUUGGGCGUAAAGCGCGCGUAGGUGGCCUCAUAAGUCCGUUGUGAAAGUCAAAGGCUCAACCUUUGAAAGCCGAUGGAUACUGUGAGACUAGAGUACGGAAGAGGUGAGUGGAAUUCCUGGUGCAGCGGUGGAAUGCGCAGAUAUCAGGAGGAACACCAAUAGCGAAGGCAGCUCGCUGGGACGUUACUGACACUGAGGCGCGAAAGCGUGGGGAGCGAACAGG